AACGCGAAGAACCUUACCAGGUCUUGACAUCCCGUUGACCACUGUAGAGAUAUGGUUUUCCCUUCGGGGACAACGGUGACAGGUGGUGCAUGGUUGUCGUCAGCUCGUGUCGUGAGAUGUUGGGUUAAGUCCCGCAACGAGCGCAACCCUUGAUCUUAGUUGCCAUCAUUUAGUUGGGCACUCUAAGGUGACUGCCGGUGACAAACCGGAGGAAGGUGGGGAUGACGUCAAAUCAUCAUGCCCCUUAUGACCUGGGCUACACACGUGCUACAAUGGACGAUACAAACGGUUGCCAACUCGCGAGAGGGAGCUAAUCCGAUAAAGUCGUUCUCAGUUCGGAUUGUAGGCUGCAACUCGCCUACAUGAAGCCGGAAUCGCUAGUAAUCGCG
rnacentral:rRNA from 1 species